AUUGAACGCUGGCGGCAUGCUUUACACAUGCAAGUCGAACGGUAACAGGCCGCAAGGUGCUGACGAGUGGCGAACGGGUGAGUAAUGCAUCGGAACGUGCCCAGUCGUGGGGGAUAACGCAGCGAAAGCUGUGCUAAUACCGCAUACGAUCUAUGGAUGAAAGCGGGGGACGGUAAGGCCUCGCGCGAUUGGAGCGGCCGAUGUCAGAUUAGCUAGUUGGUGGGGUAAAGGCCCACCAAGGCGACGAUCUGUAGCUGGUCUGAGAGGACGACCAGCCACACUGGGACUGAGACACGGCCCAGACUCCUACGGGAGGCAGCAGUGGGGAAUUUUGGACAAUGGGCGCAAGCCUGAUCCAGCAAUGCCGCGUGCAGGAAGAAGGCCUUCGGGUUGUAACCUGCUUUUGUACGGAACGAAACGGUCUGGGUUAAUACCUCGGGCUAAUGACGGUACCGUAAGAAUAAGCACCGGCUAACUACGUGCCAGCAGCCGCAGUAA
rnacentral:rRNA from 1 species